AGCAGUAUGGUGUAUUGCUGCACACGGGGAAUUUGUGAUCCAUCCGAUCUCAUACAUUGAUCCCCGAGGUCCUUGUUCGAAUCAAGGUACUGCUC